rnacentral:rRNA from 1 species
AACGAACGCUGGCGGCAUGCCUAACACAUGCAAGUCGAACGAGACCUUCGGGUCUAGUGGCGCACGGGUGCGUAACGCGUGGGAACCUGCCCUUAGGUUCGGAAUAACUCCCCGAAAGGGGUGCUAAUACCGGAUAAUGUCUUCGGACCAAAGAUUUAUCGCCUUUGGAUGGGCCCGCUUUGGAUUAGCUAGUUGUUAGGGUAAAAGCCUACCAAGGCGACGAUCCAUAGCUGGUCUGAGAGGAUGAUAAGCCACAAUGGGAAUGAGACACGGCCCAGACUCCGACGGGAGGAAGCAGUGGGGAAUAUUGGAAAAUGGGCGAAAGCAUGAUCAAGCAAUGCCGCGUGAGUGAUGAAGGCCUUAGGGUUGUAAAGCUCUUUUACCCGGGAUGAUAAUGACAGUACCGGGAGAAUAAGCACCGGCUAACUCCGUG